rnacentral:rRNA from 1 species
UACGAAGGGGGCUAGCGUUGCUCGGAAUCACUGGGCGUAAAGCGCACGUAGGCGGCUUGUUAAGUCAGGGGUGAAAUCCUGGAGCUCAACUCCAGAACUGCCUUUGAUACUGGCGAGCUUGAGUCCGGGAGAGGUGAGUGGAACUGCGAGUGUAGAGGUGAAAUUCGUAGAUAUUCGCAAGAACACCAGUGGCGAAGGCGGCUCACUGGCCCGAUACUGACGCUGAGGCGCGAAAGCGUGGGGAGCAAACAGG